CCCUUAGAUGUUCUGGGCUGCACGCGCGCUACACUGACGAAGGCAACGAGCUUUCCUUUACCGAAAGGUACGGGUAAUCUUUUGAAACUUCGUCGUGCUGGGGAUAGAUCCUUGCAAUUAUUGAUCUUAAACGAGGAAUUCCUAGUAAGCGCAAGUCAUCAACUUGCGUUGAUUACGUCCCUGCCCUUUGUACACACCGCCCGUCGCUACUACCGAUUGAAUGGUUUAGUGAGGCCUUCGGAUCCGCGACUCGUUUUGUGGAGAAGUUGGACAAACUCAGUCAUUUAGAGGAAGUAAAAGUCGUAACA
rnacentral:rRNA from 1 species